rnacentral:snRNA from 1 species
AUCCCUUCUCAGCUUUUUGGAUAAGAUCAAAUGUAGUAUCUGUUCUUGUCAGUUUAACAUCUGAAGACAAUAUAUUAAAUGGAUUUUUGGAAUCAGGAAAUGGAGUAGGGGCUUGUUCCGUCCACUCCACCCAUCAACCUGGUUUUGCAGUAUUUCCAGGAAUGGGGCACCUCUC